GACAGAGGAGGCAAGCGUUGUCCGGAUUAACUGGGCGUAAAGCGUCCGCAGGUGGCACGGCUAGUGGGGUGUGAAAACGAGCGGCUUAACCGCUCGAGGCCAUCCCAAACUGCCGCGCUGGAGCCGGGCAGAGGUGACGGAAUUGCCGGUGUAGUGGUGAAAUGCGUAGAGAUCGGCAGGAAGAGCCAAGGGGGAAGCCGAGUCGACCUGGCCCGCGCUGACACUCAUGGACGACCGGCGUGGGGAGCGAACCGG
rnacentral:rRNA from 1 species